UGUGACACAUGGUAAUUGAAU
rnacentral:piRNA from 1 species